AGUGAACGCUGGCGGCAGGCCUAACACAUGCGAGUCGAACGGCAGCACAAGAGAGCUUGCUCUCUGGGUGGCGAGUGGCGGACGGGUGAGGAAUGCAUCGGAAUCUGCCCAUUUGUGGGGGAUAACCUCGGGAAACCGGGACUAAUACCGCAUACGACCUACGGGUGAAAGCAGGGGAUCUUCGGACCUUGCGCAGAUGGAUGAGCCGAUGCCGGAUUAGCUAGUUGGAGGGGUAAAGGCCCACCAAGGCGACGAUCCGUAGCUGGUCUGAGAGGAUGAUCAGCCACACUGGGACUGAGACACGGCCCAGACUCCUACGGGAGGCAGCAGUGGGGAAUAUUGGACAAUGGGCGCAAGCCUGAUCCAGCCAUGCCGCGUGUGUGAAGAAGGCCUUCGGGUUGUAAAGCACUUUUGUUGGGAAAGAAAAGCAGCCGGUUAAUACCCGGUUGUCAUGACGGUACCCUAAGAAUAAGCACCGGCUAACUUCGUG
rnacentral:rRNA from 1 species